rnacentral:tRNA from 1 species
GUCAUUAGCGUAGUCGGCAGAGCCGUUGACUUUUAAUCAAUGGGUCGCAGGUUCGAGCCGAGCGAAGCGAGACAACA